UCAAACUCCUAACCUCAAGUGAUCUGCCUCCUUCAACCUCCCAAAGUGCUGGGAUUACAGGCGUGAGCCACAGCACGCAACCGUGCCUUCAGAUUCUAAACCAAGCUAUUUAAAUAGCCACUGUUUGAUUAUUUGAAUUAACAUGGAGCAUCUUCUUGGAUAUUGUUCAGGGAAAUGUGACUAGAUCAAGGUGUUUUGAGGAUGUAUUUUCUUGUCAAGUAAACCCUCAUGUUUGAUAAAAUAAAUGAUAUUUUGAGGUAGUGUUUACUGGGAACAGAAAGUAAGAAGGGAAAAGGAGGGACCAUACAGGAAAGUAAAAAUAAUAAAAGAAAAUUUAGAAAACUAGAGGAAAAGGCAUGAAAGGAUAAAUCUUCCAUCCCGUACUGAUAAUGGCCUUUGAGCACCACUAAGCCCCUUUGCUUCUCCCAUUAAGGAAAGGAUGAUAACUGAGAAGGAACAAACAAAAAUAGACAUCAUUAGAAAAAAAUACCCAAGACUUUUAGAUGUUUCUCUUACAUUUUGGGGUCAUUUUCAGAUUACCAGUGUUCAUUUGCUGAGGUAUAUGAAGGGAUAUUUACUACUUAAUUUGACAAACAGCAGGAUCCAAACCAGAGGUGUGUAUAAGAGCAGGUGCCAUGUGUGUCUGGAGAGCUGCUGCCUCCACAAGUAUCCUGAUGGCACUGGGCUUCUAGUGAGACCUGGCUGGCCACCCUCCCCAUGUUAUAGCCAUGGGUUUUUUGGGAACCAUUUCCUCCUUUUACUGAUUCACAGUUGUAAACUCUUCUAUUUAUUUUUCUCUUGAGUAACAACUGCACCCUGACAUUGCGGCAGUGUCGAUGAAGACUAUUUAACUCAUAUUUUUGUUAACAUAAUAAUUGUCUGUCUUAACCAAAAACUAAGUUUCCUGAAAGCCAUAAUCAGGUAUAGAGAAGGUCUUUGUUCUGCACAAUACCAGGGCAGGUAAUAUCUGUAAUGUGUAUUAACAGCAAUUCACUAAACAUUGAAUGUCUCUGUAUGCUAGCAACUGUGCUAAAGAUUUGCUGUGUAAAGAUGAAUAGGAAAUUGCCUCUUCUCCCAGGAAACUCAAAACAUUUAUUGAAUGGAUAAAUAAAAUAAUAGGUGCAUUAAUAAAUGAAUGGUUUCUUUUUAGCCCUCUGGGAGUUGGACAUAAUUUACAGGAGGCGAUACCAAAAUGAUGUGAGACAUUGCAACACAAAUUUCUCAUUAGUCAAAUGCUAUCUGUCCCUUCUUUUAAAACCAAAGGAUAAAGAUACAGCAGGAAGGGUUAUGUCCCCUGACCCAAAUUGGAGGGCUGAUUUGAAAUAGGAGGCUGUAGGCGCUUUAAUCUGUCUGUGGUCUCUCUCAUCGUGUCUCUCCAACCCAGCCUCUCCCUCCCACAAGAGUAGGCCUUCGCCUGCUCUUCUAGCAGAGGGGUGGGGAUGACACUGGUGGGGUUUUCAGCUUCACUCACCCUGAAGAAUGAAUUCUUCCUUGCCAUGAUCUGUUAAGACCUUAAAAAGAAAGGUCAUUCUUUUAAUGAGAUAGGAAAUAAAUCUACCCAUCUAGUCACCCACUACUUUAGCCAAAUAAGGAAGGGAAAGAACUAGCAAUUUCCCAAAUGUUGUUUUCUGAGUCUGGAAAUCAAAAUCAGUCUUGUUUAGUUAAAACAUAUUUUUGAGCAGUAACUGUUGGAGGGGAGAUAUUUGGACUCAUGAAAGCCAUCAAGUCUUCUAAGAUUUAUAUGCACCCCUCCUGCUUUAGCACCACUGGCCAACUUAAUCUCUGCAUUAUUGUUAUGUGUCAUAAUUAUGAAAUUAUAUGUUCUGUUCUAUUACUUCUAAUUUACACUAAUUUUGUAAUUGGAUCUCAUUAAACCAAUUAUGUAACUGCUUAAUUUUUAACUAAACACUAUCUUAAAGACUUUAGAACUUAAUUUUAAAUGUUUACGUUUCAAGGAAAGCCAAGGGGGUCUUUGCAGCUCAGAAUGCACAAUUAAGAAGUACAUUUGAGCAUUCAAGGAGAUACCACCCUCACUUCCCACAUUUUAAGUCCAGACAUGUGUCUGUGAUUUAAGAGGGAUCUUUUAAAAUGCCCCUCUCUGGAUUUUUAUUGUCACCGUGGCAUCUGUCCCCUAUGUUAUUCUCAUUUUCUAUUUAGUAUUCAUGUGUAAGAUCCAUGAAUUACUUCAUUUUUGCACAGAUGUUAACAUCUUUCUGUUCCUCUUUUUAGUUUAUGAAACAGAGACAGAAGUAGUAGGUACUUAACAGUGUGGCUGAAUGCUGUCUUCUUCAUCUUAAGGAUUCCGGUCCAGUGCUUAGGUUGUUAGACUUUGGUGCUGGAAGUAAGGAUAAAAGGAUUUGGACCAAAUAGUGUUUAAAUGAUUUUCAUGGUGGAAGUGGCAUGGAGAGUAAGAACGAGGGAAGGCAGAUAAGACACGGAACCUGAGAUGUUCUAGGUUACUUCCUGAAUUGAUCAGAAACUGUAGAUCUGCUAGUGUUCGGGUGAUUAACCACAGAGUUGCAGAACACAAGUGGCUUUUGUUAGCUUUUCUAAUCAGUGUUUAAGGAGAAGUUCCAUGCGAAGCAAUAAACCUGAGCAUAUGAAUCUGAAGUUUGAUUUCUUAGGAUUCCCAUUUACAAGAUUGGUGACUUUACUUAUCUCCUCCAUACUUCAAUGUACCCAUUGAUAAAAUAUGUAUAAUGGGCCAGUUAGAACUCAGAAUAGAAGGCAAUGGAACUGAGCUAGGACUCUGGAGGCCUCUGGCUGUACCAGGCAUUAACCCUUCAGUGGUUGGAUCAUGCAGAGGAGGUGUGGUGGGGAUCCCAGGGGCAGAUUAGGGCAAAUAAAUCUGCAGGGGGAGGGAGUAUUUGGAGGGCUUAUGAAAGUGGCUUAGUUGACAAUCAGGAGAUAUUGCAGUAUUUUGGCAAUUAGUACAGCCAUAUCUUUGCAUACCAGCUAAAUACUGGUACUGAGUAUAACCGCACUUUUUUUGCAGAGUUGCUAUAAGGAUUCAAUAAUAUCAUGCCACUAACAACACUACAACUAAUAUAACUGACAUGGAUAAGUAUUGCCUAUGGAUAAUAGCCACUAAUCAUGCCACUAACAACACUACUGCUAAUAUAACUGACAUGGGUGAGUGUUGACUAGUUAUCCAGCUGACAUUAGAUAAGUGCCUGUGCUGUGCUAAGUGCUUUAUAUGCAUGAUCUCCUUUAAAGCCUCAUGACAAUUCUAGGAGGCAAAUCCUAUUGUUCUUAUUAUCCCCAUUGUACACAUGAGGAAACUGAGGCUCCGAGAGGAGUGGUAGCUUGCCCAGAGUGGCACAGCUUGCACAAAGGGAUGCCAUGCCCAUAAUGUGCCAGGUGCAUGCAAGUAAUCGAUAAAUGUCUGUUAGUAUCCGAUCCCAUACAGUAUGUAAAGCUAGAAGCUGUGAUUCCUUUGGGAACAAGCAAGGCCAGCUGUACCCAGCCUUCUCAGCAGCGCGCAUGGCACUUUACAGAAGGACUAUAAAAAUUCAGUCCACAGGGCAGGGAGUAGACCUGGCUAGGAGACAGGAAGUCAGAUGACAAUCCUACAAUGGCAGGAAGGCCUGAGAGGAAUUCAAAUAAGAAAAAAAAAGAACUCGUUCAGAGCUGGUUGGCAACUGCAUACUUCCUACGAAGAUUAGAAGUGUUACAAUUACAAUUAUUACAAUUGCAGGCAAGAAAGAAAAAGAGGCUGCAGGAUGUUUCAAUUUAAUUUGACGAGUAUUUACUGCGGAGAACUAUGCAUGAGGCACUGAUAAGAAUAAGAAUAAAAUAUCCCUGCCCUCUGAGGACCACACUGUAACUAGAAGGACAGCUUUAUUCACCAGAAACGAUUGUGCAAAUCAGAUUGAACUCUGGUACAGACAUCCAGCAGCCAGAGAAACCUUAAGACAGAUCACAUCACUGCACCCCUGCUUAAAACCUGUCCACGACACUUAGAUUGAAAUCCAGAAUCCUUCAUAGACUGCUUAUAUAGUCUGGCCCCAUUCCACCUUACCAGUCUCAUUUCAUCCCACUUCCCUUAGCCGACUACAGUCCAACCACACUGGCGCUUCUUCUUUUCUCAAACAUGCCAUGCUUUUCUCUAGUAGGAGCCUUGGCCCACGUGUGCCUUCUGCUUGCGGUCAUGGCCCUCUGGCUCUUUGCAUGUCUGUGCCUUCCCUGACAUCCCCAUUCCCGUUACUUCCUAGCCCACCACCCUUUAUUUCUUUUAGCAUUUAUAUUGAUCUGACCUUAAAUUGUUUUUAUAUUUAUUGGUGUGUUUAUUGUUUAUCAUUACCAUAUAUACCCCAGGAAGACAUUUACACGUCUGCUUUGUUCUCUUCUGUAUUCCCAGCACCUAAAUUAAUGCCUGGCACAUAGUAGGCACUCAGCAUAAAUUGCUGAACAAAAUAAAUAAGAUAUAGAGCCACUGGAGCACAGAGGACAGGUUCUUUCUGGCCAAAGUCACUAAGGACAGUUUCACCAAGAAGAUUUUGAGGAGAGUCGAGCUAAAAAUGAGGAGGAUUUUGAUAGAAGGAUGGAGGGGAAUAUGUUCCAGGCAAAGCGUGUAGCUUAAAAGAAAAGUGUGAGAACAAGAAAGGAAACUGAUUAAGUAUAUGAUAUGUGUUAGCAGCUUAGCAUGCUAUCUUAUUUAUACCCGUUUUAUGUGAAUUGAGGCUCAGAAAAAUGUGAGUCAUCCCAGGUGCCCUGUAAAUGAGUACUUGAACCAGGAUGCAAAUCCAGAUUUUCCUGGGACCAGUGUCUAUGAUUUUACCUUUAGCUAUGCCUUCUUCUAGUAAAUAAUCAGGUAAAAUUUGACAAAGACUAAAUAAAUGUAAAUCAAGUAUUGAAGAACAGGUAGGAAAAACCUCAAAACCAAAAGCCAAAUGACAUCCUUUAGAAGGAAGAAAGCUGUUUCUGUUUCUCCAGUAUUUUUAGGAGUUAGAAUUUUUAAUCUCUAAGCUGCAUUCGUGGAGGUGUGAUCUAAAAUGCCUUGAAAACGCAGGACAAUGAAUCAUUUUUUAUUUUUUAAUGAUGUGUUUAUUCAACAAAUGCAGAUUGAGUGUCAUUGUGUUCGAGGUGCUAGGCUUCGUUUAGAGACACAGAGUCGAGGCAGAUUCUCUAACUUCCCUUGGGAAGCUUU